rnacentral:rRNA from 1 species
AUUGAACGCUGGCGGCAGGCCUAACACAUGCAAGUCGAACGCGUGGCGGACGGGAGAGUAAUGUCUGGGAAACUGCCUGAGGGAGGGGGAUAACCACUGGACACGGUCGCUAAUCCCGCAUACUCUGGGAAGUGCCCAGAGGGGAGUAGCUAGUAGGUGGGGUAAAGGCUCACCUAGGCGACGAUCCCUAGCUGGUCUGAGAGGAUGACCAGCCACACUGGAACUGAGACACGGCCCAGACUCCUACGGGAGGCAGCAGUGGGGAAUAUUGCACAAUGGGCGCAAGCCUGAUGCAGCCAUGCCGCGUGUAUGAAGAAGGCCUUAGGGUUGUAAAGUACUUUCAGCGGGGAGGCGUUACCCGCAGAAGAAGCACCGGCUAACUCCGUGCCAGCAGCCGCGGUAAUUC